rnacentral:rRNA from 1 species
GAUGAACGCUGGCGGCGUGCCUAAUACAUGCAAGUCGAGCGAACGGACGAGAAGCUUGCUUCUCUGAUGUUAGCGGCGGACGGGUGAUUAACACGUGGAUAACCUACCUAUAAGACUGGGAUAACUUCGGGAAACCGGAGCUAAUACCGGAUAAUAUUUUGAACCGCAUGGUUCAAAAGUGAAAGACGGUCUUGCUGUCACUUAUAGAUGGAUCCGCGCUGCAUUAGCUAGUUGGUAAGGUAACGGCUUACCAAGGCAACGAUGCAUAGCCGACCUGAGAGGGUGAUCGGCCACACUGGAACUGAGACACGGUCCAGACUCCUACGGGAGGCAGCAGUAGGGAAUCUUCCGCAAUGGGCGAAAGCCUGACGGAGCAACGCCGCGUGAGUGAUGAAGGUCUUCGGAUCGUAAAACUCUGUUAUUAGGGAAGAACAUAUGUGUAAGUAACUGUGCACAUCUUGACGGUACCUAAUCAGAAAGCCACGGCUAACUACGUGCCAGCAGCCGCGGUAAUACGUAGGUAGCAAGCGUUAUCCGGAAUUAUUGGGCGUAAAGCGCGCGUAGGCGGUUUUUUAAGUCUGAUGUGAAAGCCCACGGCUCAACCGUGGAGGGUCAUUGGAAACUGGAAAACUUGAGUGCAGAAGAGGAAAGUGGAAUUCCAUGUGUAGCGGUGAAAUGCGCAGAGAUAUGGAGGAACACCAGUGGCGAAGGCGACUUUCUGGUCUGUAACUGACGCUGAUGUGCGAAAGCGUGGGGAUCAAACAGGAUUAGAUACCCUGGUAGUCCACGCCGUAAACGAUGAGUGCUAAGUGUUAGGGGGUUUCCGCCCCUUAGUGCUGCAGCUAACGCAUUAAGCACUCCGCCUGGGGAGUACGACCGCAAGGUUGAAACUCAAAGGAAUUGACGGGGACCCGCACAAGCGGUGGAGCAUGUGGUUUAAUUCGAAGCAACGCGAAGAACCUUACCAAAUCUUGACAUCCUUUGACAACUCUAGAGAUAGAGCCUUCCCCUUCGGGGGGGCAAAGUGACAGGUGGUGCAUGGUUGUCGUCAGCUCGUGUCGUGAGAUGUUGGGUUAAGUCCCGCAACGAGCGCAACCCUUAAGCUUAGUUGCCAUCAUUAAGUUGGGCACUCUAAGUUGACUGCCGGUGACAAACCGGAGGAAGGUGGGGAUGACGUCAAAUCAUCAUGCCCCUUAUGAUUUGGGCUACACACGUGCUACAAUGGACAAUACAAAGGGCAGCGAAACCGCGAGGUCAAGCAAAUCCCAUAAAGUUGUUCUCAGUUCGGAUUGUAGUCUGCAACUCGACUACAUGAAGCUGGAAUCGCUAGUAAUCGUAGAUCAGCAUGCUACGGUGAAUACGUUCCCGGGUCU